UACGAAGGGGGCUAGCGUUGCUCGGAAUUACUGGGCGUAAAGGGCGCGUAGGCGGACAGUUUAGUCAGAGGUGAAAGCCCAGGGCUCAACCUUGGAACUGCCUUUGAUACUGGCUGUCUUGAGUUCGGGAGAGGUGAGUGGAAUGCCGAGUGUAGAGGUGAAAUUCGUAGAUAUCUGGAGGAACACCGGUGGCGAAGGCGGCAUCCUGGACCGAUAUUGACGCUGAUGCGCGAAAGCCAGGGGAGCAAACGGG
rnacentral:rRNA from 1 species